rnacentral:rRNA from 1 species
GACGAACGCUGGCGGCGUGCUUAACACAUGCAAGUCGAACGGAAAGGCCCUGCUUUUGUGGGGUGCUCGAGUGGCGAACGGGUGAGUAACACGUGAGUAACCUGCCCUUGACUUUGGGAUAACUUCAGGAAACUGGGGCUAAUACCGGAUAGGAGCUCCUGCUGCAUGGUGGGGGUUGGAAAGUUUCGGCGGUUGGGGAUGGACUCGCGGCUUAUCAGCUUGUUGGUGGGGUAGUGGCUUACCAAGGCUUUGACGGGUAGCCGGCCUGAGAGGGUGACCGGCCACGUUGGGACUGGGAUGCGGCCCAGACUCCUACGGGAGGCAGCAGUGGGGAAUAUUGCACAGUGGGCGGAAGCCUGAUGCAGCAACGCCGCGUGCGGGAUGACGGCCUUCGGGUUGUAAACCGCUUUCGCCUGUGACGAAGCGUGAGUGACGGUAAUGGGUAAAGAAGCACCGGCUAACUACGUG